rnacentral:misc_RNA from 1 species
ACCCCUCGAUCGACAUCAGCACGGAUGAGCCCUCCCGUUUCAUGAGAAGGUCAGCCCGUMCUAGAUAGUCGUUCACGCUUAGCAUACAACGCUUGAUUUAGGCAUGCAACGUGUCCACGUCCAUCCCCAAAACAGCAUUCUGCAUCCCUAGGCACAACCAUGGACUAUCAUCCACAACCCAACAAUGCUUUUGGCCCUUGAAAGGYGGAAUGAUAGAGAUAGCAUCAAAGUCCAGCCGACAACUCAAGUGGGACAUAGGCGGGAAAUCUCAAACGUAAGGGACAGCACUACCUUCAAUAGGCAUGCAACACAGGAGACCGCAACUCGCCCAAGGCACUAUGCACUCUUGGAGCAAAAACUGAAGAGGUAUGCCAGCAUGCGGUUC